CCCUUAGACGUUCUGGGCCGCACGCGCGCUACACUGACGGAGCCAGCGAGUAUAAACCUUGGCCGAGAGGUCUGGGAAAUCUUGUGAAACUCCGUCGUGCUGGGGAUAGAGCAUUGUAAUUAUUGCUCUUCAACGAGGAAUUCCUAGUAAGCGCAAGUCAUCAGCUUGCGUUGAUUACGUCCCUGCCCUUUGUACACACCGCCCGUCGCUACUACCGAUUGAAUGGCUUAGUGAGGCUUCCGGAUUGGUUUAGAGAAGGGGGCAACUCCAUCUUGGAACCGAGAAGCUAGUCAAACUUGGUCAUUUAGAGGAAGUAAAAGCCGUAACA
rnacentral:rRNA from 1 species